CACCUCUGUAUGUGUUGGUGCAAUAAAACCAAAACAAUCACAUUUAAAAAAAAAAUAAAAAUAAAAAAGUGCUAAUUGCUUGUGACCUUAGUGGGGAUAUAAGUAGUUUGUGUAAAAUUUGAACGAAUUGCAAAUUUUAGGCCUAAAUACAGCUGGAAAUGUUGCCAGGUUGGAGAUUUCCCAGUUUUUGAUUUGGUCCUCCAAUUAGCAGUUUGUAAAU